GAAUUACUGGGCGUAAAGCGCAUGCAGGCGGUUUGUUAAGUCAGAUGUGAAAGCCCGGGGCUCAACCUCGGAACCGCAUUUGAAACUGGCAGGCUAGAGUCUUGUAGAGGGGGGUAGAAUUUCAGGUGUAGCGGUGAAAUGCGUAGAGAUCUGAAGGAAUACCAGUGGCGAAGGCGGCCCCCUGGACAAAGACUGACGCUCAGAUGCGAAAGCGUGGGUAGCAAACAGGAUUAGAUACCCUGGUAGUCCACGCCGUAAACGCUGUCUACUUGGAGGUUGAGGUUUAGACUUUGGCUUUCGGCGCUAACGCAUUAAGUAGACCGCCUGGGGAGUACGGCCGCAAGGUUAAAACUCAAAUGAAUUGACGGGGGCCCGCACAAGCGGUGGAGCAUGUGGUUUAAUUCGAUGCAACGCGAAGAACCUUACCUACUCUUGACAUCCAGCGAAGCCUUUAGAGAUAGAGGUGUGCCUUCGGGAGCGCUGAGACAGGUGCUGCAUGGCUGUCGUCAGCUCGUGUUGUGAAAUGUUGGGUUAAGUCCCGCAACGAGCGCAACCCUUAUCCUUGUUUGCCAGCGAGUAAUGUCGGGAACUCCAGGGAGACUGCCGGUGAUAAACCGGAGGAAGGUGGGGACGACGUCAAGUCAUCAUGGCCCUUACGAGUAGGGCUACACACGUGCUACAAUGGCAGAUACAGAGGGCAGCGAAGCUGCGAAGUGGAGCGAAUCCCUUAAAGUUUGUCGUAGUCCGGAUUGGAGUCUGCAACUCGACUCCAUGAAGUCGGAAUCGCUAGUA
rnacentral:rRNA from 1 species